rnacentral:rRNA from 1 species
UGGAUGAUGUGGAUUAAUUCGAUGCAACGCGAAGAACCUUACCUACCCUUGACAUGUCCGGAACUUGCCAGAGAUGGCUUGGUGCCCGAAAGGGAACCGGAACACAGGUGCUGCAUGGCUGUCGUCAGCUCGUGUCGUGAGAUGUUGGGUUAAGUCCCGCAACGAGCGCAACCCUUGUCCUUAGUUGCUACGCAAGGGCACUCUAAGGAGACUGCCGGUGACAAACCGGAGGAAGGUGGGGAUGACGUCAAGUCCUCAUGGCCCUUAUGGGUAGGGCUUCACACGUCAUACAAUGGUCGGUACAGAGGGUUGCCAAGCCGCGAGGUGGAGCCAAUCCCACAAAGCCGAUCGUAGUCCGGAUUGUUCUCUGCAACUCGAGAGCAUGAAGUCGGAAUCGCUAGUAAUCGCAGGUCAGCAUACUGCGGUGAAUACGUUCCCGGGUCUU